AUACUUAUGUGGCAUGGGAGAUACCAUGAUCAUGAAGGUGGUUUUCCCAGGGCAAGGCUUAUCCAUUGCACUCCAGAUGUGCUGAUCCCUGUGAGUUCCCCAAAUGUGGGAAACACAACUGCAUAAUUUGUGGUAGUGGAGGACUGUGUUUGCACUCUCCUCUG